rnacentral:tRNA from 1 species
GCGGACGUGGUGGAAUGGUAGACACGCAAGGUUUAGGACCUUGUGCCAGUAAUGGUAUGGGGGUUCGAGUCCUCUCG